AUACAGAGGGUGCAAGCGUUAAUCGGAUUUACUGGGCGUAAAGCGCGCGUAGGUGGCUAAUUAAGUCAAAUGUGAAAUCCCCGAGCUUAACUUGGGAAUUGCAUUCGAUACUGGUUAGCUAGAGUAUGGGAGAGGAUGGUAGAAUUCCAGGUGUAGCGGUGAAAUGCGUAGAGAUCUGGAGGAAUACCGAUGGCGAAGGCAGCAAUCUGGCCUAAUACUGACACUGAGGUGCGAAAGCAUGGGGAGCAAACAGGAUUAGAUACCCUGGUAGUCCAUGCCGUAAACGAUGUCUACUAGCCGUUGGGGCCCUUGAGGCUUUAGUGGCGCAGCUAACGCGAUAAGUAGACCGCCUGGGGAGUACGGUCGCAAGACUAAAACUCAAAUGAAUUGACGGGG
rnacentral:rRNA from 1 species